rnacentral:rRNA from 1 species
GCAGUCGACGGUAGCACAGAGGAGCUUGCUCCUUGGGUGACGAGUGGCGGACGGGUAAGUAAUGUCUGGGAAACUGCCCGAUGGAGGGGGAUAACUACUGGAAACGGUAGCUAAUACCGCAUAACGUCGCAAGACCAAAGAGGGGGACCUUCGGGCCUCUUGCCAUCGGAUGUGCCCAGAUGGGAUUAGCUAGUAGGUGGGGUAACGGCUCACCUAGGCGACGAUCCCUAGCUGGUCUGAGAGGAUGACCAGCCACACUGGAACUGAGACACGGUCCAGACUCCUACGGGAGGCAGCAGUGGGGAAUAUUGCACAAUGGGCGCAAGCCUGAUGCAGCCAUGCCGCGUGUAUGAAGAAGGCCUUCGGGUUGUAAAGUACUUUCAGCGAGGAGGAAGGUGUUGUGGUUAAUAACCGCAGCAAUUGACGUUACUCGCAGAAGAAGCACCGGCUAACUCCGUGCCAGCAGCCGCGGUAAUACGGAGGGUGCAAGCGUUAAUCGGAAUUACUGGGCGUAAAGCGCACGCAGGCGGUCUGUCAAGUCGGAUGUGAAAUCCCCGGGCUCAACCUGGGAACUGCAUCCGAAACUGGCAGGCUAGAGUCUUGUAGAGGGGGGUAGAAUUCCAGGUGUAGCGGUGAAUGCGUAGAGUCUGGAGGAAUACGGUGGCGAAGCGGCCCCUGGACAAGAUGACCUCAGUGCGAAGCGU